GGAAAGAUUUACUCUGAGCUAACAUCUGUUGCCAAUCUCCUCUAUUUUUUUUUCUUCUCCCCAAAGCCCCAGUAAAUAGUUGUAUAUUUUAGUUGCAAGUCCUUCUGGUUCUUCUGUGUGAGACACCAGCACAGCAUGGCUGCUGACAGAUGAGUCUUGUGGUUCCGUGCCCAGGAACCAAAUCCUGGCCACCAAAGAGGAGCACGCUGGACUUUAACUGCCAGGCUAUCAGGACUGGCUCUGACUCAACUUACUUGUAAAAGGUCAUUCUGGCUGCUAUGUUGAAAAUAGACUAGGUCAGAGCAAGGAGGAAGCAAGAGACUAGGUAGGAGGCUAAUGCUAGUAAAACAGAGUGAGAAAGUAGGGGAGUUAUAUUAUAGUUAUAGUUAUAUUAUAACCAGUGGCUGUAUUCUGAAGGUAGAAUGAAUAGGAUUUCCAGAUGGACUGUACAGAAAGAAAGGUAUCCAGGGUGACUCCUGGGUUUUUGACCUGAGCUGCUGGAAGAGUUGGAAGAAUGGAGUUGCCUUUAAGUGAGACCAUUCCCGUGUGUGCGAAGGCUCUGUAGAGUCACUCGGGCUGUGGCUUUCAGGCUGCAAACUGUCUCUAAGACGAGGAGACAGCCGUUGUUCUUGGAUGACCUUCUCAGGGGAGGAAGAGGAGCAUCCUCGAGGAGAGUUCUCAGGGUUUGCUAACAUCAGGACUGAAGGAGAAGGAAGUUUUGUCGAGCUUCAUCUUUGAGAAGAAAGCUAGAAGACAGAGGUCCCAGGGUGUUUUGGUUACUCUGGAGUGAAACAUGGAGGAGAGAACCAUAAAAUAUUUCCAGAGCUCUGUGACUAGUACCAUUGAGUCUCUGUUUUUGUUUCCUGGAGGUAAUUAGCAUUCAAACAACUUGUGUGCUCUGGGUUGCCCAAUAGGCCCCUGGGCAGGGAGAGCGCCAGCCUUGGAGCAAGAUGGUUGAGUGAGUGGUGGCACUUAUCACAGGAGAGAAGAGCGAGCUGGGCCUUGGACGACUCCUGCAGAGAGAAAAAGAGAGCGUGGGCAGCGGGCCGAGAGCGGUUGAGCGAGCGCUGGGCCGAGCAGGAGAAAGGCCCCCGUGAGGUUUCCAGAUGCAGGGCCAUACACUCUCCGAAGCACUUCUUCACUCUUGUAAUUCUCUCCCCACCCUUUGGUUGAGGAACAGGUGAUAUUUUUAGCUCUGUUUUCCUAGUAAGUAAGUUAAUUUUCAGAGAAGAUAAAGUAACCCCAAAGACACAGCUGGAUAGAAGUUGAUCUAGGGCUAGAAGCCAGCUCUCCCAACCUAUGGAUCAGGGUUCCUCACUGUCCCCCAAUGCCACUGGAACCUGAAAUGGCACAGCCUGGUCUGGAGGACAUUGAGGAGCAUAAAUUAGGCAGAGGAAGGAGUGUGGGUAUGGGGAGUGUUCCAGGCGGAAGGAACAGCACUUCAAGGCCUUGAGGAAGGAGCGAGAGUGGUGCUUCCUGAGAACCAAAACAGGCCAGGAAGGCUGGGCCACGGAAAGCAACGUGGGGGCUGGUGUGAGGUGGGACUGGAUUAUGAAGAGCUCUGAGAGCUCACUUGCCACUUCUUCAGCGGGACCUGCCUACCUCCAGCAGCAGAUUCCUUCCUAAAGAGCGUCAGCACACUCUCUCCCGUGGACUUCCGCUGUACCCAAUGGCACUGACCUUUGAGCCACUGGUGGCAGUGUGGGGGGAGGCACGGGAUUAACGUAAGUACAUAAAUCCAUUUGCACACCAAUCUUAGUCUGAAAAAUAAUAUGUUCUGCACUUUUAUUGCUACUAUUUUCCAAAUGAAUAUAGAUGUCAUUGUGAUGAAUAAAACUCAAGUUCAUUUCACAGUACUCCUAAAUUCCUAGGAGCUUCUGGCUAUCGUGUGUAACCCCUGUGUCUCUGGCCUCAUCAGCCUGCGACAACAAAUACAGCUGCAAUUCCUUUUGCUCUACAAAUGCUUGAAAGCUGCCCCGUCAGUGCGGCUUCCUCCUGCCUGGCCUCUCAUCUUAUCUCCACACUGUUGUCCCUGCUCUGCCUCCCUCACGGUUCACUGCUCUUCUGAGCCCAUCUUUGUUCAUUCCCACCUUCCAUGACCCUCCCACUACCUUGGUGCAUUCCCACUGCUCAUGUCUCCCCUGUUAUCGUUGUUCCUUCCCACUGGUCAUGCCGACACUGCUACUGCUGGACGCAGAGAUUCAGAGGUUUGCUUUCUACUUCUGUUGGAAGUCAGGCAUGACCUCCUGGGAUUGGAGGGUGCCCUGUCACUUCCCUGAGUCUGACCUCCCCUCCAGCCAUCACCUCCUGCACUUCUGCAUCCACAGCUGCAGCUGACAGAAUUAGUGCCAGCACAGAUGCUUGUGGAAAGCAAGGGCUUGCUCUUACUACCUCUUCCAGCCACCCCCCUGGUACAAUCGCUCUCAGCAAUGGAACUUCUGAGUGUCUCCACAUGUAGGGAUUCCCUUCCAACUGGCCCCGCAGAAAGAGAGGAAGCCUUUUGUUCCUGUAGUCCAGGCAUCAGCAAGCUAUGACUCAGGGGCCACAUCCAUUGUCCAUCUGUUUUCCUAAAUAAAAUUUUACUGGAACACAGCCACACUCAUUAUUUACAUAUUGUCCAUGACUGCUUUUGCACCACAGUGGCAGAGCUGAAAAGUUGUGAAAUAGGCAGUAUGGCCUGCAAAACUGAAAAUAUUUACUAUCUGGAUCUUUACAGAAAAAGUUUGUCAACUCUUCAUCUAGUCCUUAGGCCUGCCGCAUUUCCUGCCUGGAGA
rnacentral:lncRNA from 1 species